rnacentral:rRNA from 1 species
GUGACCCCAGGAUGGGCGAGGCCACCCGCCGAGUUUAAGCAUAUCANUAAGCGGAG